CCUACGGGGGGCAGCAGUGGGGAAUAUUGGACAAUGGGCGAAAGCCUGAUCCAGCCAUGCCGCGUGUGUGAAGAAGGCCUUCGGGUUGUAAAGCACUUUCAGUGGGGAAGAAAGCCUUGGGGCCAAUACCCUCGAGGAAGGACAUCACCCACAGAAGAAGCACCGGCUAACUCCGUGCCAGCAGCCGCGGUAAUACGGAGGGUGCGAGCGUUAAUCGGAAUUACUGGGCGUAAAGCGCGCGUAGGCGGUCUGAUAAGCCGGUUGUGAAAGCCCCGGGCUCAACCUGGGAACGGCAUCCGGAACUGUCAGGCUAGAGUGCAGGAGAGGAAGGUAGAAGUCCCGGUGUAGCGGGGAAAUGCGUAGAGAUCGGGAGGAAUACCAGUGGCGAAGGCCGCCUUCUGGACUGACACUGACGCUGAGGUGCGAAAGCGUGGGUAGCAAACAGGAUUAGAUACCCCAGUAGUC
rnacentral:rRNA from 1 species